rnacentral:rRNA from 1 species
UACGUAGGGUGCAAGCGUUAAUCGGAAUUACUGGGCGUAAAGCGCACGUAGGCGGAUUUGUUAGUCAGGGGUGAAAUCCCGGGGCUCAACCUCGGAACUGCCUUUGAUACUGCAAGUCUCGAGUCCGAUAGAGGUGGGUGGAAUUCCUAGUGUAGAGGUGAAAUUCGCAGAUAUUGGGAAGAACACCGGUGGCGAAGGCGGCCAACUGGACCACAACUGACGCUGAGGCGCGAAAGCGUGAGGAGCAAACAGG